AAGAAGACACAAUUCUCUGUGUGGGCACUUGCCAUGACUUUAUUUUGGAAUUGUUCUUUGUGCAUGUGGUAGGGAAAACAUUGAUGUUUAACAGAAUUUCACUUAUUUGCUUGAAGGUUAAAGACUACAUGAGACUUUGACAGAUGGCGGGAAACCCUCAUCCACUGGUACGAACCCGGUAGAGGAAUGUCUGCGACUAAGCCGAGGGCCACUGGAUAAGGGUUGUUGAUGGUAAAACAGGUAGAGGAAUGUCUGCGACAAAGCCGAGGGCCACUGGAUAAGGGUUGUUGAUGGUAAAACAGGUAGAGGAAUGUCUGCGACAAAGCCGAGGGCCACUGGAUAAGGGUUGUUGAUGGUAAAACAGGUA